rfam:Phytophthora infestans T30-4 supercont1.29 genomic scaffold, whole genome shotgun sequence.
CCGCUUUUAGCUCAGUGGUCGAGCGUUGGCUUUGGAAGCCACAGGUCGGUGGUUCGAGCCCGCCAGGGCACA